AUCCAGAUGAUGAGUCCCAAAUAGGACGCGCGAAAUGCGCAUUAUCCUGGAU
rnacentral:hammerhead_ribozyme from 1 species